UUGUCGAAUGAGCGAAGGUCGUAAAGCUUCACCAUUUCUGAGUUGAUGCCAGCGGAGAAAAUGAGACCCUCGGGAUCAAACGAGCACACCGGCUUGCCCUGGAGGUGCAUGAGGCCCUGCGGGUGGCAACAGGUGGAAAUUGGGUUAAUGGUGAUCUAGACCCUAACACACCCGAAGCGGUCACAGAUCACAGCAGUGCAGGAGGCUUUCCUGGCAGACCUCCGGCGAGAGAAGUUGGGUAAAACCUGGACUGGUCUACUACUACUACUACUUCUAUAAGAGACUCUGAAAAACGCUGUAAUAGCAGUCAUUUUUGGGGGAACGAACAAAGAUAUAUGCCUGUAAGUAUUAUCGGUUUGCAUGUGUUGAGCCACCGUUGGUGUUCAAAUCGUCAAAGUGACAUUCAGACUGCUUGAAGUGACAGCCGAUCACAGGGCACAUCCAUGCAAGCAUUCCCAGGGCUGGGCAAUUUGGAGCCUUGGAAUGGUCGCCUGUCAAUCACAAGUCUUCAUAAAAACCUCACAGAACACCCGGAGAACAUGCUAAUCACACAGAGGGAGGGAUUCGAACCUAGAAUCGAAGAACUGAGAGGCAGAAGUGGGAAAAACUUCAAAACAGUGCUACAACGAUAACUGUAAGAUUACAUUUCUCCUCUUUAAGCAAAUCAAACAAUCACAACAAUUACAGUCAAUUGAUUUUUAUUUUUUGAACUCAUUCCCACCUCCGUAAGUCGCCCACACACACCCAAAAAAAAAAAAAAAUUCCAGGCCGUUGCUCCUAAAAAGCGUUAGCAUGCUAGCUAACGAGACAACAAGGGGGGUUAAACAAGGAUGACG